CGAACGGGUGCGUAACACGUGACCAACCUGCCCUCGUGUGGGGGAUAGCCGGGCUAGCGCCCGGGUAAUACCGCAUACGUUCUCUUUGGGGAGUCCCGAGGAGAGGAAAGCUCCGGCGCACGGGGAGGGGGUCGCGGCCUAUCAGCUUGUUGGCGGGGUAAUGGCCCACCAAGGCGACGACGGGUAGCUGGUCUGAGAGGAUGGCCAGCCACAUUGGGAGUGAGAGACGGCCCAGACUCCUACGGGAGGCAGCAGUGGGGAAUCUUGCGCAAUGGUCGAAAGACUGACGCAGCGACGCCGCGUGUGGGAGGACGCCUUUCGGGGUGUAAACCACUGUUGCCCGGGACGAACUUCUGGUUUCGACCAGACUGACGGUACCGGGUGAGGAAGCACCGGCUAACUCCGUGCCAGCAGCCGCGGUAAUACGGAGGGUGCGAGCGUUGUCCGGAAUCAUUGGGCGUAAAGGGCGCGUAAGUGGCCCGGUCAGUCUUUGGUGA
rnacentral:rRNA from 1 species